rnacentral:RNase_P_RNA from 1 species
GGGGAAACCCACGACCAGUGCAACAGAGAGCAAACCGCCGAUGGCCCACGCAAGUGGGAUCAGGUAAGGGUGAAAGGGUGCGGUAAGAGCGCACCGCGCGGCUGGUAACAGUCCGUGGCACGGUAAACUCCACCCGGAGCAAGGCCAAAUAGGGGUUCAUAAGGUACGGCCCGUACUGAACCCGGGUAGGCUGCUUGAGCCAGUGAGCGAUUGCUGGCCUAGAUGAAUGACUGUCCACGACAGAACCCGGCUUAUCGGUCAGUUUCACUU